ACAGAUAGCUGAAUCUGGAAAGAUCUAUGCUGAAGAAAAAGAAGUUCAGGCGAAGCUACUUGAGAGAUCUGUUAAAGAGCUAGAAUGCACCACUAAUGUGCUAUAAACAAGGUUGACAUUCUUAAAGCAGAAGCAGAACGACAAAGAAUGCAGAGAGAAGAGCUCGGAGAUUGAGCUUCAUUCAGUAAAACAUCAGGCAUUUGGAGGAGAAGGAGAGAGGCCUAGAAGAUGCACUGAAUCAUAUACAAAUCCUUGAAAGGUAUAUAUCUAACAAGGAAGCAGAGAUUUCCCAGUUCAAGGCACCUAUCACUGAGCUAAAUUUGCAUUCAGAAGCACAGGCUAGUGAGUAUAAACAGAAGUUCAAGGCAUUGGAAGGCAUGGUUGAACAAGUAAAACCUGAGGGCCAUUUCACUCAUAGCAUGAGCUCUUCGUCGAACAAGUCCGAGAAAAAUGCUGCCAAGUCCAGGGGUUCUGAUUCCCCUUUCAAAUGCAUUGGUUUAGGCUUGGCACAACAAAUAAAAUGUGAGAAGGAUGAGGACCUUGCGGCGGCAAGACUGCGUAUUGAAGAGCUAGAAUCCUUAGCAGUUAAUCGACAGAAAGAGGUAGGCUUUACACUCCAAAUGUAAAUCCAACUUGAUAUUUGUGUCAGAUAAUGUCUCACCAGAAGAUCCUCAUGUUCUAUUUGCAUUAAAUGCCAGAUUGGCUGCUGAUGAGAGAAUGACCCAUGAUGUAAUCCGCGAUUUACUAGGAGUAAAACUAGAUAGGACAAAUUAUGUGGUAAAUUUACGUUGUUCUGCACUGCUCUUUUGUUUAAUCAUGGUUUUUGGCAAUUCAGACCACAUAUAGAAUUGAGACUACGUGUCUCCUUUUUUGUUUUUGGUAAUUUAUAUGAUAAUGUCAGAUAAAGUGCUCAGACAUAAAGCUCUUUCUGCAUUUAAAAAAGGCAAGAGAAAAAAAACAAAAACAAAAGGUAAAGAGAGAGUAGUUUUCAUGAAUGUGUUUGUUCAUGUACCUAUAUGUUAAUGGCAGCCACUGUUAGAUGAUAAACAAGUGGAGAAUAUUGUAGAAAAAGCUCACCUUGGAGCCUCAAGUAAAGGUUUUUUUAGCUUUGGUAUUGCCUUGGAAACCCACAUGUGAAUUCUCUUAAUGGUUUCCACUGUCCAUAUAGGAGCAGGAAGUUAUCAAGCUUAAGCAGCAGCUCAGUGAGUUUAUUGAGGAGAGGCAAGGGUAAGCAUCAAAGGAAAUCAUCAAAGGUCUUCCUAAGGGAUUAAAGAUUGUUGAUCUUUCAGCGGUAUGCUUUGUGUUCCUGUAUGUUGUCUUGUUUAAGCCAUCAUGCAAUAAUUUGAAAACUCAGAGUUUGCUAAUGUCAAGUCUUAUCUUGUAAUGUGUUUAGGACUUCCGGUUACGAGAUAUUUCUGAGUAUGAAUGUUGUUUGAGGUAUGAUUCUUCGGCCUAUAUUUUAGGUUGUGGAUAGAUUUUAUUGGCUCACUUGCUUCAGCUUUUCUGCCUAGGAAGAGGCAGGUGCAGCUUUUAAUUGAAUUGUAUGGUAUGGUGGCACUGAUUUCAUAGCAGUUUUCUUUUUCGAGUUUAUGAAGUUUGAUCCGUUGUUUGUGGACAGACGGAAUGAAAUAAAUGUUUUGCUUGUCUAAUU